GCCCAGCUCCGAAGGCUCCCGGGGCCCCCCCAGCUCUGGCUCCGCCCCCUGGGAGCCGCCCAAGGGGGCGGAGCCUCACCUGUACGAGGAGGUGGAGCCGUGGGGGGGCUACGAGGAGGUGCCCCCGGAGCCGCUCGUGACCCCCCAGGGGGAGCUGGUCUGAGGGGGCGGGGCCUCGGGCAGAGCCCCGCCCACAAAUAAACCACACCCCUUCCCAG